AGAACAGUGUGAAGAGCAUAAAAAGAAUGGGCAAGGCACAGCAGUAAAGAGACAGAGUGCUCUAAAUCCAAGAACUGUGCAUUAUUCUGCAUAGGUGAAGAGUAGAGUGGAUGUGGGAAGUCAUAAGGGCUGAGACUAGAGAUGUAGGCAGGGACAAGAUGAUGCAAAGUCUCAUACAACAUUCUGAGGAAGACGUUUACCCUGAAAGAAAAACCCCACUCUUCUGGUCUGUAGCACGUGUUCUAUUAUUUUAAGGUAAAUAUAUGAGUUUUUGAUACUAAACUGUAAAAUGUUUUACUUUAUUUAUCCUUUAUGAUAAACAGGAUUUUCUGUCAACUGUCUUCAUUUUCACCGUAAGAUUGAUAAGGACAUUUCUAAUUCAUUGGGCAUAGCAUUUUACUUCAUAAAAUCUGCAGUUUAAUUUCUUUGUUAAAAAAUGAACUGCACAGCAAAAGCAUGUGAGGAUAAGGAUUUCUGAAUGCUGUCAUGCACACCCUGGUGUUCCCAGCACCGAGCCAUUAAUGCAUCACUGCUGUCCUGUGCUGGAUGAGGGAGGAGAGAGAGUUAAGAGAAGCAGCUGGCUAAGGAGAGCCCCAGGGAUGAGCUCCCAGAGACACUUACCUGGAAAGAAGAAAGCAAUAGCCUUCAUCAUGUCUAGUCCCCUCUUGGCUCCCUGCACUGAAAUCCCAGGGAUCAGCUUGUUGCUGGACAUGCCACUAACUUCUGUGUCAAUGUACACAAACCCAGCACAGUUGCACAAGCUGCUACAAGUGAUGUCCACUAUGUUUGCAUUUCAAACAGGAAGAAAGGAGAAAGGGACAAUAUCAGCAAAAAAAGAAAACUAAAGAAAAGAGUCCAUUUUAUCAGGGAAGCAAAAUUUCCCACAGAAGCUCCCCCAAAAUUCUACUUAUGUCUCAAGUGUGGAAGAACAGUGUUACAUUAAUACACUCAACUGCAAAAGAGACUUAGAAAGGCAAGGAAGAGAGGCUUUGGGGUUGGGGUUUGGUUAGGCUCGCAAGAGUGUCUGCCUACGAAGUGGCAGGACCUGAAGUCAAAGAUACAAUGCUCAGCAGACUCUCCCCUCAAGCUCUUCAAACUAAACUGAUAUUCUCGCUCAGUAAU
rnacentral:lncRNA from 1 species